rnacentral:rRNA from 1 species
UACGAAGGGGGCGAGCGUUGUUCGGAAUUACUGGGCGUAAAGGGCGCGUAGGCGGCCGAUCAAGUCAGAUGUGAAAGUCCUGGGCUUAACCUGGGGACUGCAUUUGAUACUGAUUGGCUUGAAUGCAGGAGCGGAUAGCGGAAUUCCCAGUGUAGAGGUGAAAUUCGUAGAUAUUGGGAAGAACACCGGUGGCGAAGGCGGCUAUCUGGACUGUGAUUGACGCUGAGGCGCGAAAGCGUGGGGAGCAAACAGG